rnacentral:rRNA from 1 species
UUUUUAUAAAUUAUUUAUAUUUUAUGUUUUGUUUUUAUUAAAAUAAGAAAAUUAUUGUUUUAUUAUUGUUAAGAAGGAAUUUUUUUUAUUAUAGAGAAUUAGUAUUGUGAAAGAAUUUUUUAAAAAAUUUUAAAGAAGAAUUUAAUUUUCGUACCUUGUGUAUCAGGGUUUACUAAAUAAUGUUUUUUUAUAAAAAUUUCUCGAAUUUAGAAGAGCUAUUAAUCAAUAUAGGUUACUGUUGAAUAAGUAUCAUUAAUUUAUUAAUAGAGGUGAAACGUCAUUCGGUUCUUAAUAUAUCUAGUUUUUUAAGAAAUAAAUUUAAUUUAAUUAACUUAUAAUUGACUCAUCACUUAAUAGUUUAGUCUUUUAGGUUAGUAAGUGUUCUAGGGGAUGAGCUCUAAAACAAAUUUAUAAAAGUUUAUUUGUGUAUUGAAGAUGAGUAUGAUUGGAAGUUUUAAUCUCGUUAGUGUUUUAUAACUAUUCUUUAAGACUUUAAGAUUUAUAUAAACUUUAUUUUUUUUAUUAAAAUUUAUUUUGUAAUUUAUUAUAGAUAGGAAUAAUGGUAGAAUUAGUAUAAGUUCUUGUGAGCUGUAUUUUUUACGGGAGGUUGGGUGAAGGAACUCGGCAAAAAUGUUUUUCACCUGUUUAUUAAAAACAUGGCCUUUUGAUUAUAAUUUAAGGUCUGGCCUGCCCAAUGACUUAGUGUUAAAUGGCCGCGGUAUACUGACCGUGCAAAGGUAGCAUAAUAAUUUGUUUUUUAAUUGAAAGCUGGAAUGAAAGGUCGGAUGAGAAAACAACUGUCUCCACCUAAAUUUUUUAGAAUUUUAUUUUUAAGUAAAAAAGCUUAAAUGUUUCUAGAAGACGAGAAGACCCUAUAGAGUUUUAUACAUUUUUGGAGCAAGGUUUUUAGAAUUUAUAUUUUUGGUUUAUCAAUGUAUUUGGUUGGGGUGAUCAAAAAAUUAAAUAAACUUUUUUUUUAUUAUUACACUAAUGAGUGGAUUAUUGAUCCUUUUUUUAAGAUUAUAAGAAAAAAUUACCUUAGGGAUAACAGCGUAAUCUUUCUUGAGAGUUCUAAUCGAUAGAAGGGGUUGCGACCUCGAUGUUGGAUUAAAAUUAAUUUUUGGUGUAGGGGCUAGAAAAUUAGGUCUGUUCGACCUUUAAAAUUUUACAUGAUCUGAGUUUAAACCGGUGUGAGCCAGGUUGGUUUCUAUCUCUAGAUGAUUAGUACAUUUUAGUACGAAAGGACCAAAUGUGCGGCUAAAAGUUUAAUUAUUGGAAUAAUACU